rnacentral:rRNA from 1 species
GUGCCAGCCGCCGCGGUAAUACCGGCAGCCCGAGUGAUGGCCGAUCUUAUUGGGCCUAAAGCGUUCGUAGCUGGCCAGACAAGUCCGUUGGGAAAUCCGCAUGCUUAACGUGCGGGCGUCCAGCGGAAACUGUCCGGCUUGGGACCGGAAGACCCGAGGGGUACGUCCGGGGUAGGAGUGAAAUCCCAUAAUCUCGGACGGACCACCUGUGGCGAAAGCGCCUCAGGAAGACGGAUCCGACAGUGAGGAACGAAAGCCAGGGUCUCGAACCGGAUUAGAAACCCCGGUAGUCC